AUUGGGUCUGACUGUGAGUGGUGCCAUCAAUUCCAUGGGCUAUGGUCCCAGCCUGAGCUAAAAGGAAGAAAGUGGGGUUCUCUCUCUGGUUCCUGACUGUGGACACGAUGGGAGCAGCUGCUUCUAGUGUUUGCUGCCAUGCCUUCCCACCAUGAUGGACUGUACCCUGAAACCAUGAAUCUAAAUAACCCGCCCACACGUGGCCAUUGAACAAAGCCUUAUUUUUUAGACAAAUUUAGACUGUGAAGUAGCUGAAAAGUGAUGGACACUGAUCUAGUGGGUUAAAAGCAACCUGUCUUUGUUCAUCUACUUCCAGGCAGAUUCCUAUGUGAAUUUGGUAGUUGACAUUUCUAGCCACUAGAACCUUUUAGAAAUAGAAUAGGCAUCCCAGACAGAGGAAUUCCUCAUAGGCAGAGGCUCACAAAUAGUGUCUUUGGAAGCAGAAUUCAAAUCUCAGAAGGGGGUUGGACCCCCAGGCCACUCCCACUCGUGACAGCCCAUAGUUCGGUUAAAGUGGAUGAGAAAGUCCCUCAUAUCACUGAGACAGUAUCUGCCUCAUGUGUCUUCCUCUCCUCGGAGGAAUACUGGGAACUCCUAAUCCUCUUGCCUCCCCCCACCAAGUGCUAAGAUUAUAGACAUGUGACUCCACACUCAAUUUUAAAGAGCUGGCACAUAUUUGGACAUUUGGCUGUCCCCCAGGUGCCAUCUCUCUUGUUUGGACAAACACCUAGACCACACUCCCCAGGUUUUCUUAAAGCAAGGGACUUCCACAUGGCUAAGUUACCUCCCUCCUAUCUGAGCAGAGGUGUCCAUUAUUUCCUGGCCCUCUCCUCAUCCUCUCUCCAAUUCUGUCUGCCAGGACAUUGGCAGUCAGGUUGAUGUUAGAAGCUGUGUACUGAAGAUAUUAGUUGCCAUCAUGGAUAGCUUUGUUAAAGAGUUAAUGUCCAAGAGCCAUGUGGUGUCCCUCAAGCGAGGCUCGAAGUAUCCCCCAUUUCUGGUUCAUGUUGCCAAAUCUCUCAGUGUGGAAUUCCAAAGCCCUCUGUGCUCCAUUUGACAGCUCUUCCAUACCUACCUCUCACUGCAAACUGACUUUCCCCAUGCCUGACAGGUAUCCAGGAUGCCAGGAAUUCCAGAAGAGGACCACCAGCAAGCAGGUCCUGCCUCUUGCUCCUGGCAUUUCCUCCCUCUCAGUGGCCUUCCCUCAUCCCAGCCCGGCCUCUCAUGAGACCUGA
rnacentral:lncRNA from 1 species